ACUUCAGCCACACAGUUAGGGGCACAAGAAUGGUUAAUAUACCUGCAAGACAAAUCAGAAAACUGAACAUGAAAACAAUGAGGAGCUUUCCCCUCUAAAGAAACUGAUGAUGUUUCUAUUCAUGUAGGAACAAAGCCCUCCUGUGAGUGUGGCGUCAAUCACGUGGUCAUUGUCCAUGCGGAACAUGUACACGCCUCGGUUCUAAAGAGAAGACAUGUUGUCAUCAGUGUGAUCUGAAGCUCCUUCACUCCACACUCAGUCUGUGCUGAAAGCACCCUGGUCACAUUCCUGGACCCUACCAAACACAGCUGAUACAUUUCUGACGGGUCAGUGUGAACAUCAGAUGGGGCAUUUGCAAAGCUGGGGUAUUAAUCUACGGUUACAUAUGGGCAAGUAACACUAGCUACAAAAGGUGAUGGUCAAGGGAAGAGACAAACAAGAGCUAUGUAAGAGUCUGCAGCUAUGGCUUCUGUUCACAACUGAGUACACAUGGCUGUGUUCUUCAGAUGUCUGUCGUAGUCAAUUUAUACAGUACCUGGGACUCAUAAAGCUUCUCUUUUCUGUUUGCAACUUCAUUUCGAAUAAUCGUUCCGAUGUACUCAAUGACCAUGGUGUGUUUUUCAAUGUCUCUAGCAGCAUACAGGCCCAGUCCCUAAACAGAAGGAAAAAAGGAUUGUAUGCAUUCCAAUACACCUGACAGACCUUUAUUCUCUUCAUAAAAAUGUACUGCCCUAGGAGUCUUAUCAAAAGCCAUAUCUAAGAUUUCACCUACAUUUGAAACAGGAUCUCACUAAGCUGUCCAGGCAGUCCUUGAACUUGUGGUCCUCCUGCCUCUGCCUCCUGAGUGGCUGAGAUGACAGAAAAUCUGAGUUGCUCAACACAUUGGAGCCUUAUUUGGCAGCUCAUACUGUCUAGACCAGUGCCUGGUAAACCUUGUAGUGUACUGUCUUAGAUGCAGUAGCAAACAAAGUUGUGGAAAAUAGCACAUUUAUAGAGUAUAUAAAUAAAUACAACAUUCAUAGAUGAUCUGCAUUUUCUUGCCCUAAUUUGGGUUUGUGCUUUUGAUUCUGAUCAAGGAAGAAACUGUGGAAAAAAGAGAAGAGAAAUUGUUAAGAACAAGUCUUGUUCAUGGUAUCUGCCAGAGGCCUACAUGUCACAGACUUAUCUUUAAAAAUAGGAAAAAGAAACUCACUCACGCAGUGUGAAUGGUUCCAGGUGUAACUCAGAUGUGAACCAGAAUAUAAAAAGGAUGUGGGUGCAGACCAAUAUUGUUUGGAUCAGUGUAAGCAAACAGUCCAAAUUGAUGCCUGUUCUGAGAACCUAAGGUACAGUAAUGGCAAUGGUUGCAAGAUCAAGUUUAGCACAGCAGGUUAUAUGUCAAAUGGCAUUAUGAUAAUAGGCUAUACAAUGAAAGGAAAUAAAAAUAAAAAUUGAAGUUUUUUGUAAAGAUAAAAAAAUUAGGAGAAUACAACCUACAGUGUGUGCAGAGUAAUGAUAUGAACAUGUAUGUUUGUCUAUAUAAAAAUAUAAAACCUUUGUAAGUAAAAAAGAUACAGCCGGGUGGUGGUGGUGGCGCAUGCCUUUAAUCCCAGCACUCUGAUUUCUGUGAGUUCCAGGCCAGGUUGGUGUACAGAGUGAGUUCCAGGACAGGCUCCAAAGCCACAGAGAAAUCCUGUCUUGAAAAAACCACCACCAACAAAAAAAGAUACUAGAGUUUCUGGAGAGUAUAAGAUAUUUCAUAUGGGAAAACACCUAACACUGCAAGCUGGCACAACCUGAAAGGGACAAAGGUGAUGAAAACAUGUAAUUCUCUCAGAAAGGCAAGUACAGACGCCAGUCAUGAGGAGACAGCUUCUCCAGGAGUCAGGAGCUGUAUCUAACUAAGACUCUGUCUGAGGCUCUGUGGUGAAAAACAUUUCUUCCUCUUCCAGAGAAACUUCUGGUCAAUUCCCAGGACCCACAUGGCUGCUUACAACAGUCUUUAAUUCCAGCUCAUAGGGUCCCAAUGCCCUCUGCUGGCCUCAUUGAACACACAUAUUCACAUAGUACACAUACCAACACAGAGACAUAUAAAUAAAAAUAAGAAUAAUUUUUCUAAAAAAAGAUCUCAGUGUUAGUCCAUACCUACCAACAUGUCAAAAUAUAAAAAGGUGGGAAUACCUACAAGAGAAAACUAGAAUAGAGUCAUAGACUGCAGAAAGAAACCAGUAAUUCUGGCCUUUUUGAAAUAUAUAUUACUAAGGUAAAAAAUAAAUAUAGUUUACACAGAAGCCUUACUUUUUGGAUUCUACUCCAGAUGACUGAAACUAAGUGUUAAGACACUGAUGGCAUAGCAUUGUUGUGACACACUGUCAAUAGCAGCUAAGACACUGAUGGCAUAGCUUUGUUGUGACACACUGUCAAUAGCAGUGCAAUCGCGCAGCCACAGUUCAUCAUCAUGAAGCAGCACAGGACUUAAUGAGAACACAAUGGAGGCCUCAGUUAAUGUAGAGACCUUGUGCGUUAGUGGGGGAAGUAAGUAUAGACAAUAUGAUUCUAUUUUUAUAAAUGUGCGUAUGUGUGUGUGUUCCUAAGACACAAGCACAGAAACAUGUAAGACAUCUACUACCGUCACCAUGGUAAACAAAGAAGUGAGCAAAGAGAAAAAUGAUAAAAGAAAAAUGACAGUUGAAACUCUGAAAGAUGACUCAAGUUGUGUCAAGGAAGAUGGCUCAGUGGAUAAAAGGGCUUACUGCAAAACAGUCUGACAAUCUAAGUUCAAUCACUGAAGCUCAUGUAAAGGUGGAAGGAGAGAACCGACCCCCAGAAUUUCUCUCUGACCUAUACAUGUACACCACGGCAUAUGCACACCCUCAUACAGGUCCAUCAUGACUUGAAGACAGAGUUGAGAUUCUAUCAAAACCAUUCCUCAAAAAACGGGAACAGGCACAGAAUGAACAAUCUAUCUAAAAUGCAAAUGAGGAGGAAAGCAACUGAAAGCAGCAGAGACAGGGCAGGGCACAACACACCCACAUAAUCUCAAAGACGGUCACAGCAGAGAGAAAGGAAUGUGAAACAAGACUUAGAACAAAAUGACAAGUGCCAAAAGCUCUUAGGUGGUUGCUGAAAAUUUGUAAGAAAAAUCAGUCAAUAAAGCAGAGGACAUUGCAGAAGAGCAAAACAAGGGAACCAAAAGAAGUAGGAAAAAAGCCACGAAGAAGGCAGAUGCUCAUCUAAGUCAUAAGACUGGCUGAGUCCCUCCAGAGUGGGUCUCGGGUGGGCAAGCCAGUUUGUCAGUUUAAGAACUCCUGGCUGAUGCUGAGAGUCUCCCGAGCUACACGUGGAGACCAAUAGUCGUUUCUGGUACAAACAUAGAGAAAGUAGAGGACAGGAAAGAAGAAAGAUGCUCAGGCUGAAGGUCCCCAAUGCUCUAGACUAAAAGGAUUCACCAAGAGAAGAACGUGAUAUGAAGAGGGCCUCCACUAGGCACAUUUGCAAAAUGUCUAAGAACAAGAAGAUUCUAGAAACUACCAGUAAGGAGGAAAGAGCUUGUACUAAACUCAUAAGACUCUGUACUGUACACAGCAACACUGGUUUUCGGGAAGAGGCUGGAACUUGGAGGAGGGCGGGGUGAAUUAACACGAUUUUAUGGCAGGAUGGAUCUGAGAAUACAUAUCCACUUAGGCACUGAUAUAGAUACUAUUCAACCACAAAAGGACAUUUACAAAAUUGGAGCUUUAUAAUUCCAUUCUGGGACAGGAGAGAUGUUGAUUAGACAUGUCAGUAUUAAGAUCAUAACACAGGAGGUAAGGACUACAUUUUAAUUUUAAAUGCUCACAUUUAGAUACUCCACUGUCUACCAGGAAUGUGCAGUGAUUUCAUGAAAAGGCAGUGCUCAAAAGCUGCAGUGUCACAUCAAAGUUUUUAGAGUAGCCUGGAACUCGUGGUGCUCCUGGCUCUACCUUCCAACUGCUGGCAUUUAUUUUUACUUUUCACAUGUGCUUGUAAAUAACCCUGCUGAGCUGUCAAAACUUGGUGCGUGCAAGAUCCAGUUUCCCCACAGUCUUUACCAACGUAUCAAGAUGUAAAUUCCUAAGGACUGCUGUCUACUCCAGGUCCAGCACCAAGUUCUCAGGCUACAAACCACAGUCCUCAUGCUGCAAACUGAAAAGGUGGAGCAAAGCUCUCAAAGCAAGAUUCCAAGGCUGGGAUUCGCUCAGUGGUAGAGCACUUCCUUAGUACACACAAAGCCCUGGGUUCAAAUCACAGAACCACAAAACAAACAAACUAAACAGGUCAAACAUUCCUCACCUGGAUCCGAGACCGGGCCAGAUACACAUUAGAUUUCCAUUCGGUCUUCAUUCUCCGGUACUGUGAUGACUUGGAGUGGACGAACUGCUUACUGUAGGGUGCGUUCAGCUCUCCAGUGACUGUGCUCUGAAAUGACUUUGAGGUGCUGGUGCUAUUCAAGGUGUGAGGCCUACAGAUGAUAAUGUGCCAACAAAAAAAUAAAAGGACAACUGAAGACACCUCUGAAUAGUGCAAAAGCCAAACAAGUUAAAGGCUGUAGUAGCAGAAACACACAGAAAGCGGUCUAGCAGAGACACAGUGCGUCUUCUGAAGUUGUCAGAAACAUACACAGCCAGAGACAGCAGGGUUUGUAAGCAGCAGACAGAUCAAGCACAAAACCCACUAAGGUGCCUAGAAACCCUGGGCUGUACUAUGUGAAGAUGAAACAAGAUACCUUAACACAAACCUCUUGACAUGGGCGCUCAUUUUAGGUUCAGAACGAGCACAACCUGUGGGGUUAACAGCAAGGGGUAGCUCCAUGAGAGGAUUUCGGCCAUAUCGGAAGGUGUAGUUUUCACACGCUUCAACCCCAGGUAGCUAAAAAAGAAGGAAAAUACGCAAAAAGGUAACUCAUCUGGCCAAAGAUAUAAUCUUCAACUUGCCAAAAAGAUGGCCAUGUUUUCUUCCCUUUUGUGAUCUAUUAAAUAUAAUGAGCCUGCAUGCAUAACUUUUUUUUGGGGGGGGGGGGUUGAGACAGGGUUUCUCUGUGGCUUUGGAGGCUGUCCUGGAACUAGCUCUUGUAAACCAGGCUGGUCAUGAACUCACAGAGAUCCACCUGCCUCUGCCUCCCGAGUGCUGGGAUUAAAGGCAUGCGCCACCAAUGCCCGGCCAUGCAUAACUAUUUGAAUAAAUGUGUAAAUCCAAAUCCAAAGCAAAUUUGGUGAGCCCAGGCCACUUUUCUUUGAGAAGAAAAUUAAUUCUCAGAGCCAUUAAUACACCAUCCAAUGCCCUCCUGCAUGUGAAUCGGGAUCUGAUGUUUUAGUUUAGUUUAGUUCACAACCUAGUGAACGUAUUUGUCUAGAUGUUUAAAACUCUCAAGUAAUGGAGUCACCUAUGUGCUUUAGUUUCACUUCUGUCAAAUGGGAUCGUGAAAUGAGGCGUCACUCUCACUGUUCUAGCAGUAUUGGUGGUAAAUAAAGAUUUACCAGAAAACUAA